rnacentral:rRNA from 1 species
UACGGAGGGAGCUAGCGUUGUUCGGAAUUACUGGGCGUAAAGCGCGCGUAGGCGGCUUUGUAAGUUAGAGGUGAAAGCCCGGGGCUCAACCCCGGAACAGCCUUUAAGACUGCAUCGCUAGAAUCCGGGAGAGGUGAGUGGAAUUCCGAGUGUAGAGGUGAAAUUCGUAGAUAUUCGGAAGAACGCCAAAAGCGAAGGCAGCUCUCUGGGUCCCUACCGACGCUGGGGUGCGAAAGCAUGGGGAGCGAACAGG